UACAGAGACUGCAAGCGUUAUUCGGAUUCACUGGGCGUAAAGGGUGCGCAGGCGGCCGUGUGUGUGAGGCGUGAAAGCCCGGGGCUCAACCCCGGAAUUGCACCUCAAACUACAUGGCUAGAGCAUUGGAGAGGGAAGCGGAAUUCACGGUGUAGCAGUGAAAUGCGUAGAUAUCGUGAGGAACACCAGAGGCGAAGGCGGCUUCCUGGACAAUUGCUGACGCUCAUGCACGAAAGCGUGGGGAGCAAACAGG
rnacentral:rRNA from 1 species